AAUACGGUGUGGUUAUAAGCCUGUAUAUAUAUAUAAACACUGAGUAUUGUGUAUAACUUCGACCAAGAGCUUCUCUACCAACCAUGCAAUCUCUCGAAUGUUUUUGUUCUGGCUUGGAUUCAUAUGAGCAAAAAAAAGUGCGACCCGCGUGACUUGUCAUCGACACGGGCUACACGUCAAUCGUUGUCGCCAUCUGUCCUCACAGUUGUCUCCUUGCCAACCGCUGACUGCUCACAUCGCCGUCUUCUAGGAGACGAGCAGCUGUUCCGUGAGUUGCGCCCCCGCCCUCCCUUGGAGCAGGCGUGACUGACUUAUCUAAGUUUCAGCUGGGUUCCAGACAGCUGGCCUGUCGGAAAUAGAGACGUUGAUGGCCGAUCAAUAGCUAGUGUGGUCCCUCCCUGCCCAAUACCUCCACUCACCCACGCACGCACGCACACACGCUCACACACACAUGCAAUCGAUUCCACGGGGCCAACCAGGCGGCGCCAGCGGCUCUCGGUGUCGGCCAUGUGCUGGAUGCUAAACAUGGCAGUUGGUUCCGACACCCAUCACCUGCAUCUCCACUGCCCACAGAUGGAAAUCAGACAGCCUGGCAGACCUGAGGAGGCUGAUGAGACUGGAUAAGCGCUGGAACGAUGUUCAACAAUGCUGCCCUACAAUGAGAAUAGAGACGCGGGUGUGGCCAUGCAGUAGACGCCCUAGUCUCCAUUUAAAAAAAAAACUAAAAAAAAUCCAAAAGCAACCGCUGCGUCAGAAAAAUAGGAAAACAAGAAAGAAAAAUAAACCACUUUGUCAUGUGUUUCAAA